AACCCCUCCCUAGUGUCUUUGAGAAUAUAAAGUUUUCUUCUUUCUGGGAGAAGAUCAAUUUCACAGGAAAAUGCUUGUUCACAUAAGCCCCCUUAUUGUAGGUUUCUGAAUCUUUUUAUAAGUUCAACUAUUUUUCUCCAUAAUUUAUUGGAUUUGAGGUGGAUUUUGUUAGAAACUGUGUUAAAAGAUUUCAGUCUCACACAAAGGAGUAAAGAGGAAACUUUAUGUUUUCUGUAAUUGAAUUUUGUUUCACUGGAGGCUCCGUGAUCCACAAAGGAGAGGGUUGAAGCCAUGUUGGAAAGAACACAGCCAUAAAAGUCUGCUAUGCUCCGAAGUGCGGCACUCAGGGUGCUUCUGGAGGCCGUUCGUGGACAUUGGGCUUUUGCCAGUAAAUUCAGGGCUUGUCCUGACACCCUACACUAGGGUGAGGGGUAGGGGGUACAGCCAUAGAGGUGGCUGGGCAGUGUGGUAAUGUGUGUCUGGGUGCCUGGGUGUGUCUGCACGUGUGUCUGUGUGUAUUGGCCGGGGUGCUGCAACCUUUCUCUAACUGCUGCCGCCGCCUCCAUGAGAGGCCCUUAUAGAAAUAUCCCCGUUUUACUAAUCAUAGUGUCCCUUGCAGAUUGGCCCUGGGGAUGGAUGCCAACUCGGGGCUCUCCACCAACGUUUCCUAGAGCCUUUCCAUCGGCCCCCAUGCCCAGCCCUGGCCAGUUCCUGGGAAACUAGUGGUUCCACUCCAACAGCCUCAGGUAGAAAAUUAUGUCCCGGCUCUUAUUUUUCCCUUUUGGAAUUUGUGGGAGCUAACUUCUGUGACCUGACAUGGCCAGGUUUUUGUUAAGAAAAGUUUUAUCCCAUAUCUUUUUAAAUGACUUUCUGUUUCUCAGUAAUUACAGAUUUACAGGAAGUUGCACAAACAGUACAGAGAGGUCCCCUGUACCCUUCCCCAGUUUCCCCAGUGGUUACAUCUUAGAUAAACAUAUUCAGUAUCAAAACCAGGAACUUGAUGUUGGUACAAUGUGUGUGUAUAUGCCAUACUUUUAAAUAUUCAAAGGUAAUGAAAAUAUCCGUUUCACCCCCAGGUGCCUCCCCCUUAGUCAGUCCGCAGCGCCCUGAGUCACUGCGGGCGCUGGGCCUCUGAACCCUCCCCGGGCUCGAGGUUGCCUCCUGUGUCACUAGGUGGUGAGCCUGAAAGCCGGCCCGGCUUUCUGUCCUCACGGCUCUUGACCUUCGCUUCACCACACAUGCUCACACUCCAGGGCCAGGCUUGGUGUUUGGAGCCCCCAGCCAGCGCAGGGCACCAGCCCUCACUCCUCCCUCACAGUGGCCCCCCAACGGUCCUCCCUCACAAAUGACCUCGGUCCAUUAGAGGUGUUUAGUAAUAGGAAACCUAAGUGGUCCUGGCUUUCCUCCAGCUCGCCCAGGCCUCUCCUGAGCCCCCGGGGCCCCGCUUUCUCAUCCUCCCCUCAGUGAACGCCGGAUCCUGAGUUUGCCCACGGCCGCCCAGCACCACACUGGCACCUGUCUCCAGACCUGAGUCCCAGGGGCGGGAGCUGAGAGUCAUUCCACACAAGGCCUGGUCCCUGGGGAUCAAAGUUACCCUCGGGAGCAAGCUGGGCCUCCAGCCGAGCCUUCCCAGCCCGCAGACUAAGUGAGGAAAUGAGAGCCAGGAUGUUCAACGUGCCUCUAAGACUCAUCGGAGCAAUUAGAAGUUUCCAGAAUUGCCUGGAGAAGAGAAGGCCAGCAGGUGAAGUCAAGGCUGCAGCUGGGUCGAGGAGGGAGCGCUGCUGGUGAAAGAGAAGAAUCUAGGUAGUCCUGCACUGCUGUCCAUCCUCCUGCAUGCCCAGAAGUGGAGUGGACUGGCAGACAUCCAUUAGCUUUAGGCUGCCUUCAGCGGAAGACGUGGGGAUCGAGCACCUUUCUGCUUUUUCAUCCAGGGCCACUGCAAGAGCAGUUACAUGGUACCGCGUUUGCCCCACGUCACCACCAGGAGGGUGCUGCCGCCAUGCCCUUCAGAGCUGGAGCCCCCCAGGCCGCUGGGCCAGGAGAUGCCACUGUCCGGAAGAUGUCGCUCAGACGCCACCUGACAAGGAUCUCCUCCUUGUCCUCCUUCCCUUAACUCCACCUACCCUUCAGCUUCACAGCUGCUGGCCUCCUGGCCCGUGUGACUGGAUGGAGGGGCUGGUAGGCAGGUGUGUACGACUUGAUGACAUGAUCGACCGGGCCACAUUGAGUAAGGUUACUUUCAGCCUGCUGAGGCGGGGAGAGAUGAUUGAACAAACUGCUUGUGAGCACUGAGAGUGACGCAAAACAAAGACAGUCCUCCUCCCUGUCACACGAAGACCCUCCCAACGCUGGAAGACGCGCCUUGGACCCUCCCAAAUCCUCUCGGGCUCAACGUCCUCGUUUCGUGGACCUUCCUCGCGUCGCGCAGCGUGGCAGAGGCCGCCGGCUGAUCACAGCGGGUUGCUUCUGCCCUGACGACCAGACUGCACUUCCCAGCCUCUUUGGCAGCUUUGUGACCUUGGACAAGCCACUUAACCUCUCCAAGCUUCAGUGCCAAGUAUGUAAAGUCCGGAUAAGAACAGUCCUGGAGAAGAAGGUAAGGAUAGCGUGUGGAGCCCAGCCCACAGCCUGGCGCAGGGCAGGGCUCAGGAGACGGCAGCCUCUGGGUGCUUCUGGCUCUCCCUAAGUAGUGGGGGCAUUUGGGUGGAAGAGGAAACAGCUGUGAUGCUCCCCAACGAGCUGGUGUCUACAGAAGGUCAAGCAAAGAGCAUGCAAGUGGGGAAGGAGGGAAAUGAUCCAGGUGAGGACGAGGCAGAACCCAAACAGGACUUGAUUCCUGGAAGCGCCCAGGUGUUUUCAGCAUUUGUGUAGGGAAUCUGGAUGCUUCCAGAAGAGGGGACAGAAGAGCAGGACGGAAGCUGGCGGAGUCGAUGAGGCAAUGUGUUAAACUUCACUCCGGGCGUUUGAAGGUGGGGUGGCACCAGGAAUGCCUACCCUAGUUCGCUGACCCAGGAGAAGAAUGAGACUCUUGGAGCAGAGCUCUCACCCCAGGUGUGACCUAGGCCAUCCUAGAUCCGUCGGCACAGCUACUGCAGGCGCGUGAGAGGCACGUUUCAGGUGAGCUGUACCCCACGGGCUCCUGAGAUGUACACCACCCAGGCUUGUGGUGGUUUGUUAUGUAGCACUUUAAUGGUAGUGAAUGAAUGACCACGUGAGGUGGUGGUACCCAGGGGAAGUGUCUGCCCUGCUUGCACUAGCAUUCGUGGAGGUAUGGCGUCUUCCUCUCAUGUUUCACUAACGACGUCCAUUCCUAAUGAGAUUCCCUGGCCAGAACUGUCCGUUAUCGGUGUCCACCAAGGUGGCCACAGUUCCAUGUGGCCUCAGGCUCGCAUUGGUCGUGGCGAUGCCCGUGGCCUUGCCUUCCAGGGCACCGGGAGGGUUGCCGACCUCCACCACCUCCCUGCGGCCGAGAGAGACUCAGGACUAUCAACCAGCCUCUCUUCCGCUGCUCCAGGAAAACACCUCGACUCUCCUGGCCCAGUCCUCGGUGGCAUGGGUUCUGUUUGUGCGCUGGGCGGCCCUCCCAGAGCUCCGGACGGUUAGGAGGCCCGAGCCCUCUGUCCUCGGAUUCCAAAGUCCUGUCUUAGUGACCUGGUGCCGGCCCCCCACUCCCCUUGAGAGGGGUCUGCCUCUCCUCAAGCCUGUCUCGUGUCCCUGUUGUCCUCCCCGCCCCUUCUCCGUGGACAUCAGUCCCCUUCUAAGGGCGUCCCCGCACCCGAGCCCCUUCCCCCGCAGCCUGAGCCGUCUUCACGUGGCGUGUGGUCCUCUGACUCGCAGUGCGGUGUUUAUGGCAACGCCUCUGACUGGAUCCCUUGAGCGCACUUGCCUUCAAGACAGUCAUCUCUGUGAUGGGAUUCAAGAAACGAUUUUAAUCUGAAAAGCCAGGAACUUGACCCUCUGCGCCCCAGUGUCUCUGGGUUCUUUCCAUUUUCUGGGCAUGAUGUGCUGCUGAGCACGUUGGAAAGGCUGGUAACUUGACUCAACAAGGAAAUACGUGUGAAAGAAACCAGGGUUUAUCCUGUCACAAGAAUAUGAUUACAUUGACAGUCUUUUCUUGAUCUGAGGUGAUUGACCAGUGAGAGUUUGGGGCAAAGUUGAUGAAGAGUUUGUGUGGGGAGUGAGGAGAGGUCGUGUGAGCGGGGGCCAGCGGGGUGCCGAUUCCCGUCCCAGGGCCGAUGCUGCCCUCGGGCCUCGGCGUGAGUCACUUAGCUUCUCACAGUCUCAGCUUCGUCCUCUGGAACAUGGGGUUGGACCAGGUGAUCGUUUCGUUCUCUUCCGGCUUGGAAGUCCCGUGAUGCUAGGAUUCACGCCAAGCACAACCAAGAAGGCAGAUUUCUGACCUUGCUGAAAUGACCCCCUGUCCUUCUUUAAACUGGCAGCUUUCUCUUCAGUUUCAAAGUCUGAUCAUUCCCGUAAUUAUUGUGCAGUAGUUUGACACCGGACCUUGGGUGACAACUGGACCCCAUGUAAACAUCAGAGGGUAACAGGAAAAAGAUCAUGGGCUUUGAAGUUAGACCAACCCAGGGUUUACCUUAGGAGGUGUUUAACUGAAAAUAACUAAUAAAGUCCUGACGGACCAUGGCUUCGACCAUCUGGACGUUUGCUGCUGACUCAACAGGAGUCUGGAGGUAGGAGGUCCUAAGAUUGGUUGGACAGCCCAGCCGUGUCAUCCGGGCCCUGGGCACGUGCCAGGCUUCCAUUGCAUCUUCAGCUGGUUGGCUUUAUCCUUACUGCCUCAUGGUGCUGAAAAGGCUGCCACAGGCAGACACCUUACCCUCCCACAACAUGUCCACCAGCAGGAAGGAGAGGCAGAGGAUGCCAAGGGGACCUGUCCUUGAACUGUUCUCUCCUUUCUAUCAGGGAGAAAAUCUUUGCCAGAAGUUUCUGUUCCCGCCGCUUUCUCUCCCAUCUCAUUGGCCAGAAGAGGUCCCAGGCUCACCCCAUACUAACAGUGGCAAAGGAGGACAGGAGUCUUGUGACCGGCCAAGACCAGUCAGGAUGCAUCUCUUGGGGCCAGCCAGUUUCCAUAGAAACCAGGUGCCAUUAGCACAGAAAAGGGGGCAUUAGCUCGUAGGAUCUGCCCCCACCCCCACUUUUAAAUUUGGGGUGAGCCUGAACGAAUCACUCAGCUUUUUGAGCCCCAUUUUUAGCAUCUGAAAAUGAGGGAGAAGCCUACUGACUUCACAGGCUGUGGGAGGGACUGAGUCAGACAACGUGGGGAAUGGCCCCAGAACACUUGACCGUACCCUGCACGGGCCAGGCACUCGAGCAGUGGUAACCUUGCCCUUCCCGGCAGCGCUCUGGAUGACAGCCGGUGAGGGCAGCUUUGCUGAGCUGUCAAUUCCCAGUUCCCAAUUUCGAUGAACUCCAUUUCCAGGACAAGACACGCACGAGCAUUGCCAGAGCCAACGCGUUUGGCUCCAGCGUUUACUGCUGUGACACCUGCUGCUCGAACGGGCUCUGUGCUGUUUUGUACAUGUUAGUUUUGGACAGUGGCUGCACAUUUUGUCUUCGGAUUUCUUAGUGGGGAGAGGUAGCAUCUGGCAGCAUGGCCUCCGACCGCGGCGUCUCGAGCAAGCACUGUCGCCGGCUGUGAGCUGGGAUCGGACUUCUGUGAAGGGAGAGAAGGGCAUCUGUUCAGAGAGGUGUGGCCGCCCCGGGGGAGGCCCCGUCGUCCACAUUCCCGCAGGGCUGGCUAAUGGGCCUCUCCAAACGCAAACAUGAGGCAGAACUCCAGGGCUUCUGUCCCCUCGCUGCGUACAGCCGGCCCAUCAGCCCUCCCUAAAGCCCGCCGUCUUCCCACCAUCUCCUUUUGUACAGCCCCAGGCCAGGCCGGCCUCCUGGGUUCCCCACGCAGCACCAAGUGGUGCUUCAAAGACGGACCCCACGCAGAUCCCCCCAGGCCUGGGCCCUUCCUGUAGCCUCCAGCACAGGUACAGACCGUCCCUGACUUGUGGUGGUUGGACUUGAGAUUUUUCAAGUUUAUGAUGGUGUGAAAGUGAUACACACUCGGUAGAAACUGUACUUUGAACUUUGAAUUUAGAUCUCUUCCCAGGUUAGGUAUGUGUGGGACCAUCUCUCUCGCGAUGCUGGGCGGCGCCAGCAGUCCCGCGGUCACAAGGGUCAACAGCCAAUACGCCUGCAGCCACUCUGUACCCGGACACUUUGUUUUUCACUUUCAGUACAGUAUUCAGAAAAUCACAAGAGAUAAUGCAACACGUUAUUGUAAGACAGGCUUUGUGCUAGACGAUUUUGCCCCAGUGUAGGCUAAUGUAGGUGUUCUGAGCACGUUUAGGGUGGGUGAGGCUGAGCUAUGAUGUCCGGUAGGUUUGCUGUAUUACAUGCAUUUCAACCUUUACGGUAUUUUCGAUUUACAAUGGGUUUAUCAGAUGUGACCCCAUCAUAAGUCGAGGAAGACCUGUAGAAUAAAAUCCAGCCCUUUCCUCGGCCCAAGGCCUCAUGAUCCGGCCCCGUCCACCUCUCAGCCCCUUCCUCGCACAGGGCCGGCUUCACAGGCACCACGUCUGCCGUCCCGCCGGUCCCACGCUUCCUUCUUCCUCUGCUGUCGCCGUCUGGAAUCCUGAAUAAUUUGUGAACGAGGGCCCGCGUUUUCAUUUUGCACUGGGCCCUGCAGAUUGUGUCCUGUCCUCACAUCCUCCUGCUGUUGGCCACACUCCAGCUCUCCUGGUCCCUGGAGCGCCCAGGCUGCUUCUCCUCUGGGGCCUUGGCCGUUGCCCCCGCUCUUUGCAGGGCCCCUGCCUUUUCAGCGGGCGACCUCAGAGGGGACUCCCGCCCACACUCCCCCCCGCCUGCCCAAUAUCCACCCACCGCUACACUCCAGGCUCACCCUGUCCCUGUCACACCAGGGUCCUCACACUUCAGACAGCGCCCAGCACAGUGCGAGUACUCGAUACACAGGUGCUGCGUGAGUGAAGGACAUAGAGCAGCUGUCAGUUCCAGAACUUAGGCUCUGUUUCUGGCCUGAAGGUAGUAACUGUGGGAGUUAGAAAGUGUUGCUCACAGAAAGAGUUAACUGCUCUGUGACUUUGAUUUGGGACGGGGGUCAGCUGAAGGAGAGAGAGGGAGUGCGGCAGCCCCUUCGGUGGGGCCAGCACUGGCUUCUGCAGAGACGCGAUUAACUGAAUGUUCUGAACACUCAGUGAAGAGCUCUGAUGACUUAAUAAAAUUAGGAACUGCAGUAAAGGACAGUGCCCGGAAGAAGAGCACCUUACACACACACACACAUCUAUACACCUACCCAU